rnacentral:rRNA from 1 species
AUUGAACGCUGGCGGCAGGCUUAACACAUGCAAGUCGAGCGGGGUGAUGGUGCUCGCACUAUCACUUAGCGGCGGACGGGUGAGUAAUGCUUAGGAAUCUGCCUAUUAGUGGGGGACAACAUCCCGAAAGGAAUGCUAAUACCGCAUCCGCCCUACGGGGGAAAGCAGGGGAUCUUCGGACCUUGCGCUAAUAGAUGAGCCUAAGUCGGAUUAGCUAGUUGGUGGGGUAAAGGCCUACCAAGGCGACGAUCUGUAGCGGGUCUGAGAGGAUGAUCCGCCACACUGGGACUGAGACACGGCCCAGACUCCUACGGGAGGCAGCAGUGGGGAAUAUUGGACAAUGGGCGGAAGCCUGAUCCAGCCAUGCCGCGUGUGUGAAGAAGGCCUUUUGGUUGUAAAGCACUUUAAGCGAGGAGGAGGCUACUUAGAUUAAUACUCUGGGAUAGUGGACGUUACUCGCAGAAUAAGCACCGGCUAACUCUGUGCCAGCCGCCGCAGUAA